rnacentral:rRNA from 1 species
AGAUUGAACGCUGGCGGCAGGCCUAACACAUGCAAGUCGAGCGGUAGAGAGGUGCUUGCAUCUCUUGAGAGCGGCGGACGGGUGAGUAAUGCCUAGGAAUCUGCCUAGUGGUGGGGGAUAACGUUCGGAAACGGACGCUAAUACCGCAUACGUCCUACGGGAGAAAGCGGGGGACCUUCGGGCCUCGCGCCAUUAGAUGAGCCUAGGU